rnacentral:rRNA from 1 species
UACGGGGGGUGCAAGCGUUGUCCGGAUUUACUGGGCGUAAAGGGCGCGUAGGCGGCUUGAUCAGUCGGACUUUUAAGAGCGGGGCUCAACCCCGUGGUGGGUUCGGGACGGUCGAGCUGGGGCGCGGUCGAGGGGGAUGGAAUGCCGGGUGUAGUGGUGAAAUGCGUAGAUAUCUGGAGGAACACCGAUGGCGAAGGCAGGUCUCUGGGCCACUACUGACGCUGAGAAGCGAAAGCAUGGGGAGCGAACAGG